rnacentral:rRNA from 1 species
CCCACGGGAGGCAGCAGUGGGGAAUAUUGGACAAUGGGGGCAACCCUGGUCCAGCCAUGCCGCGUGUGUGAAGAAGGCCCUCGGGUUGUAAAGCACUUUCAGUGAGGAAGAACGCCUGGUGGUUAAUACCCAUCAGGAAAGACAUCACUCACAGAAGAAGCACCGGCUAACUCCGUGCCAGCAGCCGCGGUAAUACGGAGGGUGCGAGCGUUAAUCGGAAUUACUGGGCGUAAAGCGCGCGUAGGUGGCUUGAUAAGCCGGUUGUGAAAGCCCCGGGCUCAACCUGGGAACGGCAUCCGGAACUGUCAAGCUAGAGUGCAGGAGAGGAAGGUAGAAUUCCCGGUGUAGCGGUGAAAUGCGUAGAGAUCGGGAGGAAUACCAGUGGCGAAGGCGGCCUUCUGGACUGACACUGACACUGAGGUGCGAAAGCGUGGGUAGCAAACAGGAUUAGAUACCCGGGUAGUC